rnacentral:lncRNA from 1 species
GGUCACCCAGAAAAUUUACUCUCUGUAAAACACCUUGAGCACCUAGGAAUAGUUCCUGAAAUAAGACACUGACAUGAAGAACAGAAGGAGGCUAAAGGAAGUCAUUAAAAGAUUUGUUCUGCAGGCACCUGUCUGAAAUGCAAUCUUUGCCCCUUUUUUUAAAGAGGGAAAGGAGGGAAGCAAAGGACUCCAUAGCUUCACCUACUUAAUGAGGCUGAUCCUGGAAGUGCGUGGAACUCAUUUCAGCCCAUCCUGCCCAGAAACGCUCUGGCAAAUAAAGGAGGUUUGUCCCCAGUGGGUAGCAGAGGAACCUGUUGAAGGCGGUUAUUUGGAAGAAGGCUGAGACUUUGAAAAGAUAGUUGUGUGCUGCACACAACAUAAACUCAGAGGGAGAAGAAGAUCUGCUAGCAGAAACUGGGAAGAUGAAUGACAGGGCAGGGAAUACAAAGAGCUCACACACAAGCCAUUUCACAGGCCACCCCGAAACUGCCCAUUCAUCUUGUGCCUUCAGCCUACCAAAAGCCCUGCUGGCCUCUCUGGAAAUAGAUUGCUAAAUAGCCUGAGCUUUUUUUGGUUUGUAGAAUUGGUGAAUCAAAGGGGCAGCAGAUUUAUUUUAUGCCUCUGAAGAUCAUUUAUAACAUGGCUAAGUGGCCCAGGGUAAAAACCACAAUAAAGGUGAUUCAUGCAGGAAACCCAUUCUGUUGAGGCAGAGAUGAAAAUCCCCAUUAAAUCACAGUCUAUUCCGUGCACGGGGUCGGAGUAGGGUGGCGUUGGAGUGAGCCAAGCUCAGUGGAUUCCCAGGCACACUGAAGGCUGAAUGCAAUUGUUCUUGUAAAAUGGGAAAAUGAGACUCCUUUAAAGGGAGAAUGCAGCCUCCAGCCUUGAGCAGGGCACUCCAGACAGGGGUGAGCUGCCCAGUGGCCCUGCCAAGUGGCCGUCUGGGACUAUAUUCCCAGAUGGCAGCCAGCCUGGAGAAUCUAUUGAAUUAUCACCAGUUCCUUGCCAGGAGGUUUUUCAUCAGCUCCACCAUUUAUCAAGACAAAUGGACCCCAUACAAAAAGCCACCUUUGCAAAUUACCCUUAAAGGGGCAUCUGUGUGACGGGAGUUAGGGACGUCUUCUGCUUCUUGGCAGUUGAACUCAACUGCAAAGUUAUUGUAUUUUCUCCUGGCUGGGAUCACCUGAGAGAGCCUCACCUUCACCUUCCCUACUCGCCCUGAAAAUCUAACGUAUUAAAAAUGACGUACGUGCAAGAGCAGGUCAGGUCAGAGGGCAUGUGUGAACCCACUAUUUUCCAGGUGACCUCUCUUUGUGACAAAAAUUCUUCUCAGCUUCUUUCUCUUCCUUCAGCUGGCGCGGCAUUUCUUCCUUUUCCCUUCUGCUAUCUAAUCACUUUUCACUCCGAGGCAUUGGUAAGAAUCAAGUCAAGUGCUUUCUGAGUCCAGAUCCUCACUUUUUCAGUGAGAAGUUGACUGGGGCCACAUCAAAAGGCACCCCCCCCACUUUUUUUUUUACAAAUUAACCAAAAAUGUAGAUUCUUUUUAGUACAUCUAAUGUGGGGUUUUCCUUCUCCAUCGGUUCUUUCCCUUGCCUUGGCCUUUAUUCACACAGUACGGUUGCAACUUCAAAUAGUCAUUCCCGGUGAAAGACCUCUCACACAAGCUGGCUGACAGCAAGGAAUCUGAAAUGGAGACAAUCCGUAACUCCACACAGAUCAGGGUGGUACUGGCCAUAAAUCAUGGGUCCUCUUCUGUUGUCUUUAUUGAAUGCUGACAGUGGUCAUUGUGAUACAUUCUAAAGGGUGGUCCACGCAGCAUGUCCAGAGCUGUGAUAAAGGCAGGAAUUCCAUCCACAAUGAAUUUAGCAAAGACAAAAACCUCAUCAAAGCAAAGCCCCUUCCCUGAGAAAAAGUAAAAUCUGUUAACUUGUUACACUUUUGUCAAAAGUGCUGAUUUCCAUAGAGGUAACUGUCAGCCAUUGUGCUUAUGGACAAAACACCUGAAAAACAGAUUUAGAUGAGAACUGGUGGCUUUCUUCAAAAAUAAUUCCUGUCUAUUCUUAUGCCGGGAAGGGAUGCGCUGCAAACAUUAGCAGUAAGGAUGGUUUAUUUUAUGGGAAAAGCAAUCUGGUAGAUUUCAGACAGAACACUAAACUUGUGUGGUCAUGCAAAUCUCAUAAGCAUGAACUAAAACAUGCCGAGUACAUCAAUUAACCAGAGCUCCUAUUAGAUUUUUUUUUUUUCCUACAAAAAUGGUUUCUCAUCUCAAAACAUCUUUUAAGUUGUUUCCCUUUCAAAGACUAAGGAUGUGCUUGUGGUAACAGACUGCUUCUCAUCACUAUUUGGAGAGAAUUGAUCUAAUGAAGAGUUUCUAUUUAGGAAGAAGCAGUAGGAGGAAAGGGCAACCUAGCUUUGGAGCUUCCACUAGGCUGGGUGGAGUUUCGCAGGCUGAAGAAGCAGCUGGAAAUUCGGAUGACAGUUUUGAAAGAUGGAUGAUCAGGAAAAGGUCACCGAAAUUGAAAUGGUGGGUGGAAAAGUGGAGCAGGCCAGGAGAAGGUGGCAAAACUGAAUCAUCUCAUGCGUGUUAAAGCUUUUAAGGAACUCUUUUCUUUUUACUUCAAACAGUUUGCUAUUCUCCCUAGUGACUAACUGUCCCAUGAACUGAAUAGACUACUGGCCUUUUUUCUCCCACCCAAACCAAUUCUAAAAGCAAUUUUUUAAAUCCAGUGUAUAUGAUAAAAGAUAUACAAGACCUGAGUCAAAUUGUGAAUGUGUGUCUUUUGCUUAAGUAUGAAUUUUUUAAGGUGAAUGUUUGUUCCCAAACUACCUUAAAAACAAUGUGUGUAUUGACAAAACUAACUAUAACUUAGAAAAUUCCUUUGGCACAAGCUGGCAUGAUCAGCCACAAAAUCUUCUUCUGACUUAAAAGCUGAACCAAAUAAAACUUGACAGCAAGGCACAAUAUUUUAUAGGCAAAGUGACAUUUUAUAAUAAUGGAAUAAUAAAUGCAGAAGGGAAAAUGAAGCAAGGCUGAAAUAUCAUCUCAGACCCAUUGGCUACCAAAGAGGGGUGAAUCUCAGUUAGACCUUUCCUAUUCCUAUUGCACUAGUAAUUAUGGCAUGACUGAAGCACUCUUAAACUUAGAGAACGCCAAUAUUUCUAAUCAUGUUGUCACAUAUCUCCCAUCACUUGUUUCUAUGAGAAUCUGAUGAUACAGUGUGGAAGCCUUGGUAGCAUGCUGAAGUGGAUGGAAGAAAGCGAUGGAAAAAUCACAGGACCACUUUAUCAAGCACUUCGAUUUGGAACCAAAUCCAGCAAUGUUUAAGUCAUCCUGAUGAACACAGUCAACCCAAAGCAUAUCUACAAUUUGACAUAAAUCAGAUUACAAAUGGAAUGAAUAAAGACCACAAAAUGUGUUUUGGGUUCACAAUGGACUCCAGACUGGAAAAAGCCCAUCAGUCCUCAUUUUCUUCACUUAGAAAGAGACCUUUCCACAAAAGGAUGAUGUUGGCGUAAUGGAGAAAAUAAACCGAGGCAACAAGGAACUUACAAUCAUCAAAUUUGUAGAUUGCUCCCAUGCUGAACUGUGCCUAUAAAAAUAACUGAGAAACCUCACAUGUGUAUGUAACUUGAAAGGUGAGUGACAAGAAGAGGUGAAUUGCAGGGACAUCGGUGACAGAAAACACAUGAUCAUAUUGGGAAGAGGUAGCAGUGUGUGCAUGUGAGCGUGUGCACGUGUGUGUGUGUGUGUGUGUGUGUGGCAGUAUGCCUAUGGAGAAAGCAGAUUUUUUUUUUUUACUGGAAAACAAAAGCUGUGUUAUGUAAGCAGCACGGUUUGAAAUGGCUUGUAUAGCAAGAAUGGAAACAAGGUAUGAAUAUUCAUAAGUAAAAUGGAAGACGUGUUCAUUUGUAGGAGGAAGUGAAGAUGAAAUUCUGAAUAUUAUUUGACCACAAUUUUAUGCAGAAUGCUUUAGAUGUGUAGAUCACAUAAUACAUAAUACAAAUUCAAAACCAACUAACCUCAUUGCCUAUAUUUCCCCCUUCUUCACACUAAUAACCAGUUUGUUAAUAUUUCCACAUAUUAUUCAGGCAAUUUGUCUUAAACAAAUUUGAUUCUUGUAUUGUUGAAGACAGAAAAGUGAAAGAAGAAAGAAAUAAUGAAAACAAGAACCAUAACCAAAAAUUAACUCCAAAUAAAUCGAAGGAUUAAACAUAAGAGCCUAAACUACAAAAUUCAUACAAGAAAACAUGAGGGUAAAUGUUUGUGACCUUGAGUUGGAUAGUGGAUUCUUAGGUAUGACCCCGAAACGUAAGCAAGAUGAGAAGAAAAAAUAGAAGUUGGACUUCUUCAAAAUUAAAAACUUACAGGUUUUCAACAGACACUAUCAAGAAAGUGAAAAUACAACCCGCAAAACAGGAGGGAAGAUUUGCAAGUCAUAUAUCUGAUAAAAGACCUUCCAUCUAGAAUAUGUAAAGAACUCAUAGCUCAGUAAUAAGAAGUAAUCCAAUUAAAAAUGGGCAAAGCAUCUGUACAGACAUUUCUGCAAAUGGCCAGUAAGCACAUGAAAAGAUGCUCAACAUCACUAGUCAUCAGAGAAAUGCAAAUCAAAACCUCAAUGAGAUUCUACUUCACACACACUAGAAUGGCAAUAUAGGCAUACCUUGAAUAUACUGCACUCUGAUAAAGCAAUUACCUCAAUAAAGGGAAUCAUACUAAAUUUUUGGUUUCCCAGUACAUAUAAAAGUACAUAUGUCUACACUACACUGUAAUUUAUUAAGUGUGCAAUAGCAUUAUAUCUAAAAAACCAUGUACAUACCUUAAUUUAGAAAUAUUCCAUUGUUAAUCAUCAUCUGACAACGCAGGUUCCAUGAACCUUUUAAUUUGUAAAAAUGCAUCAUCUGUGAAGCACAAUAAAGUGAAGCACAAUAAAAUGAGAUAUGCCUGUAACCCAAAGUCAGAUAACAAGUGCUGGUGAGGAUGUGGAGAAAAUGCAACCUUCAUAUCCUCUAGGGGGAAUGUAAAAUGGUAUAGCAACUUUGGAAAACAGUUUAGCAGUUCCUGAAACAGUUAAACAUAGAAUUAACAUUUGACUCAGUAAUUCCACUCCAGAUAUAUACCCAAAAGAAAUGAAAACAUAUGUCCACACAAAGACUUGUACACAAGUAUUAGUAACGGCACUAUUGAUAAUAGCCUAAGUGUAGAAACAACUCAAAUCUCCAUCAGUUGGUGAAUGGAUAAACAAAAUGUGGUUAUUCAGGCAAUGGGAUGUUAUUCAGCCAUAAAAAGGAAAUGAGUACUGAUCUCAUGCUGUAUCAUGGAUGAAUCUUGAAAACACUGUGCUAAGUAAAAGAAGCCAGUCAUAUAAGACCACAUAUCAUACAAUUCCAUUUAUAUGAAGUGUCCACAAUAGGCAAAUUUCUAGAGAUAGAGAGUAGAUUAGUGGUUGCUUAGGUCUGUGGAGAAUGUAAGGGUGAUAACUAAAAAGAUAUGGGCUUCCCUUUUGAAGUGACAGAAAAUGUUCUAAAAUUGACUACGAUGACGGUUGCACAACUCUGUGAAUAUACUAAAUAAACACUGAACUGCAUACUUUAAAUGUGUAAUGUAUAUGAAUUAUUAUUUCAAUAAAACUUUGCAAA